rnacentral:rRNA from 1 species
GUGCAGUAUCCUAAGUUGAAUACAUAGGCUUAGAGAAGCGAACCCGGAGAACUGAACCAUCUAAGUACCCGGAGGAAAAGAAAUCAACCGAGAUUCCGCAAGUAGUGGCGAGCGAACGCGGAGGAGCCUGUACGUAAUAACUGUCGAGAUAGAAGAACAAGCUGGGAAGCUUGACCAUAGCGGGUGACAGUCCCGUAUUCGAAAUCUCAACAGCGGUACUAAGCGUACGAAAAGUAGGGCGGGACACGUGAAAUCCUGUCUGAAUAUGGGGGGACCAUCCUCCAAGGCUAAAUACUCAUCAUCGACCGAUAGUGAACCAGUACCGUGAGGGAAAGGCGAAAAGAACCCCGGGAGGGGAGUGAAACAGAACCUGAAACCUGAUGCAUACAAACAGUGGGAGCGCCCUAGUGGUGUGACUGCGUACCUUUUGUAUAA